rnacentral:rRNA from 1 species
AGUAAUGGCGAAUGAAAGGAGAUGUGCUUAGUGUCAAAAUCAGAUUACUCUGACUUGUAGGCUGUAGGGGCUUUGCCAACUUGGGUGCAGGUGCAAGUCUCUUGGAAAGGAGCACCAGUGAGGGUCAAGGUCCCGUCUGGCAUCUGUCAUCCCUCGUAGACGGUUUGCCCAUUGAGAGUCGUGUUCUUCUGGAGUAGAGCGCUAAUUGGGUGGUACUCUUUGCCCAAGGAGGAUUACGUGCUUGAGACCAAUAGUGAACAAGUACCAUGAGGGAAGGGUGAAAAGGACUUUGGAAAGAGGGUUAAGAGGGCAUGAAGCUGCUGGAAGGGAAGUGGAUUGGACUUUUACAUCGCAGUAAGAUUGCAGGCUGUGAUUUCCACUUGUGGGACAUCGCGUGCUGUGUCUCUUGCUGCUCGGUUGGGUUUUGCGUUGUGCCCGAAAUCUCAGCUUUGACUGGAAGAAGGUUUGCGAACUGGACCAUGUCAUUGCCAUCUUUUGGCGCAGCAUGCAACCUUGACCAAAAGGUUCAAUUUUACCCGUCUUGAAACACGGACCAAGGAGUCUAUUGCGUGUGCAAGUGUAAGGGCUUCACACCUGACAGCUCAACAAAGGUGACUGCUGGGACCUCUGCACCAGCAACCAACUGAUCGCUUAGGAGAUGUUUGUGUAUGAGCACACUUGCUAGGACCCGAAAGGUGGUGAACUAUGCCUGAGAAGGGUGACGUCAGGGGAAACUCUGAUGGAAGCUCGUAGCGCUACUGACGUGCAAAUCGUUCGUCUGACUUGGGUAUA